rnacentral:rRNA from 1 species
UACAGAGGGUGCGAGCGUUGUUCGGAAUUACUGGGCGUAAAGGGCGCGUAGGCGGUGCGGUAAGUCACCUGUGAAAUCUCCUGGCUCAACUGGGAGCUUGCAGGCGAAACUGCCGUGCUGGAGUGUGGGAGAGGUGCGUGGAAUUCCUGGUGUAGCGGUGAAAUGCGUAGAUAUCAGGAGGAACACCUGUGGCGAAAGCGGCGCACUGGACCACAACUGACGCUGAGGCGCGAAAGCUAGGGGAGCAAACAGG